rnacentral:rRNA from 1 species
GAUGAACGCUGGCGGCGUGCCUAAUACAUGCAAGUCGAGCGAACGGACGAGAAGCUUUCUUCUCUGAUGUUAGCGGCGGACGGGUGAGUAACACGUGGAUAACCUACCUAUAAGACUGGGAUAACUUCGUGAAACCGUAGCUAAUACCGGAUAAUAUUUUGAACCGCAUGGUUCAACAGUGAAAGACGUCCUUGCUGUCACUUAUAGAUGGAUCCGCGCUGCAUUAGCUAGUUGGUAAGGUAACGGCUUACCAAGGCAACGAUGCAUAGCCGACCUGAGAGGGUGACCAGACACACUGGAACUGAGACACGGUCCAGACUCCUACGGGAGGCAGCAGUAGGGAAUCUUGCGCAAUGGGCGAAAGCCUGACGGAGCAACGCCGCGUGAGUGAUGAAGGUCUUCGGAUCGUAAAACUCUGUUAUUAGGGAAGAACAUAUGUGUAAGUAACUGUGCACAUCUUGACGGUACCUAAUCAGAAAGCCCCGGCUAACUACGUG